GAUGAACGCUGGCGGCGUGCCUAAUACAUGCAAGUCGAGCGAACAGACGCGGCGCUUGCUCCUCUCACGUUAGCCGCGCGCGGGUGUGUCACACGUGUAUCAUCUCCCUAUCAGUCGGAGAUCACUACGAAACACCGGCGCAUAUCACGGAUAAUCUCUUGAUCCACAUGGUUCGAUAGUAAAUGUCGGUUUUGCUGUCACUUAUCGCUGGAUCCGAGCCGCAUUAGCUAGUUGGUAAGGUAACGGCUUAUCAAGGGAACGAUGCGUAGCCGACGUGAGAGGGGGAUCGCCCACACUAGAACUGAGACACGGUCCAGACGCCUACGGGAGGCAGCAGUAGGGAAUCUUACGCAAUGGGCGAAAGCAUGACGGAGCAACGCGGCGUGAGUUAUGAAGAUCUUCGGAUCGUAAAACUCGGUUACGAGGGGAGAACAAAUGUGGAAGGAACUAUGCAGUUCUUGACGGUACUGAGUCAGAAAGCCACGGCUAACUACGUG
rnacentral:rRNA from 1 species